UCAGAUUGAACGCUGGCGGACGCUUCAUGCAAGUCAGAACGGCAGCACGGACUUCGGUCUGGUGGCGAGUGGCGAACGGGUGAGUAAUGUAUCGGAAACGCGCCUAGUAGCGGGGGCAAUUCACGCGAAAGGUAGCUAAUACUGCAUAUUGCCCUUCGGGGGAAAGCGGGGACCUUCGGCCUGCACUAUUAGAGCGUGGUCGAUAAUGUAUUUAGCUAGUUGGUGGGUAACGGCUCUCACGGGCGACGAUCCGUAGCUGGUUUGAGAGGACGACCACACUGGAUCGAGAUGACGGGCUCAGACUCACGGGAGGCAGUAGUGGGAAUUUUGACAAUGGGGGAACCCGAUCCAGCCAUCCCGCGUGUGCGAUGAAGGACUUCGGGUUGUAAAGCACUUUUGGCAGGAAGAACGGCACGGGAUAAUAUUCUCGUAAUCGAUGGUAUUCUGAGACAAGGCAAUCAUGCACCAUGCCAGCAGCCGCGGCACACAGGUGCAAGGUUAAUCGGAAUUACUGGGCGUAAAGUGCGUAGGUGUUCGAAAGAAAGGAUAAAAUCCCAGAGCUUAACUUUGGAACUGCAUUUCUUUUAACUACCGAGCUAGAGGUGUCAGAGGAGGUGGAAUUAUGUACAGUGAAAUGCGUAGAUAUGCGGAGGAACACCGAUGGCGAAGGCAGCCUCCUGGGACAACACUGACGCCUUCAUACCAUGGGGAGCAAACAGGAUUGAUACCCUGGUAGUCCACGCCCCAAACGAUGUCAACUAGCUGUUGGGGCCUUCGGCCCCGGUAGCGCAUUAACGCGUGAAGUUGACCGCCUGGGAGUACGGUCAUCGCAAGAUUAAACUCAAAGGAAUUGACGGGGACCCGCACAAGCGGUGGAUGAUGUGAUUUAACUGAUGCAACGCGAAAACCUUACCUACCUUGACAUGUUCAAAUCCCGGAAGAGAUUUGGGAGUGCUCGUAAGAGAACCGGAACACAGGUGCUGCAUGGCUGUCGUCAGCUCGUGUCGUGAGAUGUUGGGUUAAGUCCCGCAACGAGCGCAACCCUUGUCAUUAGUUGAUAUGAAAGGGCACUCUAAUGAGACUGCCGGUGACAAACCGAGGAAGGUGGGGGAUGACGUCAAGUCCUCAUGGCCCUUAUGGGUAGGGUCACACGUCAUACAAUGGUCGGGACAGAGGUCGCCAACCCGCGAGGGGGAGCCAAUCCCAGAAACCUGAUCGUAGUCCGGAUCGUGCAGUCUGCAACUCGACUGCGUGAAGUCGGAAUCGCCAGUAACGCGGAUCAGAUGUCGCAGGCACGUUCCGGGUCUUGCACACCGCCCGUCACACCAUGGAGUGGGUUUUACCAGAAGUAGUUAACAGUAAGAGGGCGAUUACCGGUAGGAUUCAUGACUGGGGUGAAGUCGUAACAAGGUAG
rnacentral:rRNA from 1 species